UGUUAAUGAAAUUUCUGAUAUUGGCGAAAUUGUCCUUCUAGUUUUCUUGUUUCUUCUUUCACGUCCACAUCCUCCGCUCUCUCACUGCUUCUUCUCUUUGAUUGGCAAGGAGCCAACCCAUAUCGUCAAAGGUUAUUCCACAAGCAAUAUGCACUAGAUAUGGACUUGAUGUGGGUUCCAACCGAUAUGGUAUUACUUGGAUUGCUUCAGAAGGACUCAAGCACAGAGUCUUUGAGACAUCACUAAGUGGCUGACCUUCAGGGAGAUGAGGAGCAUGCUUACAGCAAAAUGUGGUUGAUAGCUUAAAAUAUCCAACGAAGGAUUGUUUUUGCUUGCUAUAUAUUUUUCUUUGCUCAUAAGCG